CGGCGGACGGGUGAGUAACACGUGGAUAACCUACCUAUAAGACUGGGAUAACUUCGGGAAACCGGAGCUAAUACCGGAUAAUAUUUUGAACCGCAUGGUUCAAAAGUGAAAGACGGUCUUGCUGUCACUUAUAGAUGGAUCCGCGCUGCAUUAGCUAGUUGGUAAGGUAACGGCUUACCAAGGCAACGAUGCAUAGCCGACCUGAGAGGGUGAUCGGCCACACUGGAACUGAGACACGGUCCAGACUCCUACGGGAGGCAGCAGUAGGGAAUCUUCCGCAAUGGGCGAAAGCCUGACGGAGCAACGCCGCGUGAGUGAUGAAGGUCUUCGGAUCGUAAAACUCUGUUAUUAGGGAAGAACAUAUGUGUAAGUAACUGUGCACAUCUUGACGGUACCUAAUCAGAAAGCCACGGCUAACUACGUGCCAGCAGCCGCGGUAAUACGUAGGUGGCAAGCGUUAUCCGGAAUUAUUGGGCGUAAAGCGCGCGUAGGCGGUUUUUUAAGUCUGAUGUGAAAGCCCACGGCUCAACCGUGGAGGGUCAUUGGAAACUGGAAAACUUGAGUGCAGAAGAGGAAAGUGGAAUUCCAUGUGUAGCGGUGAAAUGCGCAGAGAUAUGGAGGAACACCAGUGGCGAAGGCGACUUUCUGGUCUGUAACUGACGCUGAUGUGCGAAAGCGUGGGGAUCAAACAGGAUUAGAUACCCUGGUAGUCCACGCCGUAAACGAUGAGUGCUAAGUGUUAGGGGGUUUCCGCCCCUUAGUGCUGCAGCUAACGCAUUAAGCACUCCGCCUGGGGAGUACGACCGCAAGGUUGAAACUCAAAGGAAUUGACGGGGACCCGCACAAGCGGUGGAGCAUGUGGUUUAAUUCGAAGCAACGCGAAGAACCUUACCAAAUCUUGACAUCCUUUGACAACUCUAGAGA
rnacentral:rRNA from 1 species